GAAACGCGAACCAAGCAGCCACCCACCGGUGGCGUGAGACUUGGAGCUGGCCUCGGUAACGAGGCCAUGCG
ncrna:unclassified sequences Transposase-2 RNA